UGGUUUUAAGUGCUUGCUGUAGCAAACUGGAAUGAUGCAGAGACAGUAAACAUGGCCCUUGUGUAAGGAUGACAUACAGAUUUGUGAAGCAUUUCAUUUUUUA